UGCGUACAUAUGCUGCUAAGUUCAGGGACUGGUACGCGAACGCCUCCUGCCGCCGCUGGUACCGGCGCCGCCCCCUCGCCUCAGCCUUCACCCACCCCACCAAGAUGGUCUACCCACCAGGGGAGGUGUACACGCCCCCUGACAGCCCCGACAGGGAGGUGCUGCCCCGGGACGUGGGGGAGUACCAGGUCCCCCACAAGGACCUCAGCUACGAGGUGGACCCAGUGGCCUCUGA